GAACGCAGCGAAAUGCGAUACGUCUUGCGACUUGCAGAAUCUCGUGAAUCAUCGAAACUUCGAACGCAUCUUGCGCUCCCGGGAUAUGCCUGGGAGCAUGCUUGUCGG
rnacentral:rRNA from 1 species